UGGCGGCGUAAGAGCUCGCUGUGGCUUGAGCUCCGCUACUGUUUGUUUGUUUUUUUAACAUCUUUAACAUCUUUUAGCAGCGUUUUCGGGACUUUCCAACUUGCAGAUAUUUGCACAAGAGAUAGGCAGCAAGAACGCCAAGAGUAAAUAGAAGAACGACGCAGACAAGAGCGAGUGUGUGAACUCACCAUCAGACACCGAGUCUCCUGCCGUUGAGGUCGGGUGAGAGACAUUUCCUCUUGGCACUGAAGGCGGGUUUUACAGAGUCAUUUAUUUCACUCACGUUAAGUUUCUGUUCUCGGAGCUCGGAGGAGGGCCUUCGAUGAAGAACACAGUGUCCAGGCAGAUACUUGUGUACAUUGAGUCUUGCAAGGAAAGUGCAUGAAAUUUUGCAUGGUAUGGAGAAAAUGGAUAGAGAAAAGUUUUUCUCCCUCUCUUGUAACACUAGAACUCUUGGACAUCCAGUGAAGUUGAAUGGUGGAAAAUUCAAGACAAAGACAAAAUAAAAUACUCCACACACCGUACAAAUUAUGGAAUUUGCUCCACAGUCAGAAGCAGUAUACUUCCGAAUGUAUGUACUGCCUUCAAGUCAAUUCCGACCUAUGGCAACCCUAUGAAUAGGGUUUUCGUGAGGCUGAGAGGCAGCGACUGGCCCAAGGUCACCCAGUGAGCUUCAUGGCUAUCUGGGGAUUCAAACCCUGAUCUCCCAGGUCAUAGUCAAACACCUUAAUCACUAUACCACACAGGCUCUAGUUGCUGGAUAUUGCACAUCCAGAGAGAGCUGUUGCACUCAGGUCCUGCUUAUGGGUUUAGGCAUCUGAUUGGCUAGGAUGCUGGUCUAGAUGGGCCACUGGCUCUUAUGUGUGUUAAGAAUAUAUUCAAUAAAUAAUAGUGACAUCACUGGAGUCUUUUGGUUCUUGAAUAUGUAUUCUUUUUACUGAAAAA